GUCCUUUAGGUGUCGGGUUGCCUACGCUAAUGCACGAUAUGAUCGUAUCCUGCCAUACUAUAUACAUUUGUUUAUUAUUUUUUACUUGUUUAUGUAGGAAAAUAUUUGGAGAUAAAAUGUCAGGACAUUUAAACAUAUGCUCAAGCAAUACAUGAAAAACUAGUUAGGCUGUUCCAAUUUUCUUCUUUUUGAAAUCCUCUAAUUUAUGUGAAGAACUUAACACUUCCUCUUAGAUCUUGUUGGAUGGAGUACAUCAUCACUGCGGCGUCCAAGUGAGCUCCCAAAGUUAGCAAAACCUGUGAAUACUCAAGAAGAAAUGUCUUUAGAGGGCCAAGUCAAUGUAUGCAAGACCAUUGAUAUGGAAGAGGCAAUGAUCAGGGGUCUCACAAAAAUGAGCUGGGAAAGGGUUGAUAUUGACUUCAGUGGAACUAAACAAAGACUUUUGGCGCACAGUACUAUUCAGGCAAGUUUCUUCUUUCUCUUUAAUUUAACUACAGAAUCAAGGAAAAACAUAAUAACCUCAAUGAGUAAAAUGCGGUUUGGAGGUCAAC